CAUAUGUUUGUUACAAAAGGAUUACAAAAUACAUGUCUUCAAAGAUCAGUUGGCAUUACAAAAGAGUUUUCCAAAAGGAUUACAAAAUACAUAGCAGAAACAUAAUAAUCAGUCCCUCAUUUUGAAGUGGGUAUGUCUUCAUUUUCUGGUAGGGUAAUUGGUUUGUCACUAGAUAUUCCUUCACCUGUUAUGGGUCUUUUAACCAACUCAACUUGAUCCUCUCACUUUGCCUUCUUUUGAUGAUAGGUUUUUUUUUCAACCCUUUUUCUGGAUUGUUUUGUGAUUGAGGCAGCCACACUAGAUCCUGUUUGACUCAUAAUAGUUGGAACAGGCAUAUCAGUUGGAGGCUGUGGAUCAGUUGGAACAGGCACAUUUGUUGGAACAGUCAUAUCAGUUGCAGUUGGGGCAGGCAUAUCAGAUGCAGUUGGCAUAUCAUUUGCAGUUGGCAUAUCAGUUGCAGUUGGCACAUGUCCUUUUUUAGGUUUUCUCU
rnacentral:lncRNA from 1 species